GGGGAAAUGGCACAGUGGUAGAGCACUUGCCUUGCAAGCAAGAAGUCCAGGGUUCCAUCUCCA
rnacentral:tRNA from 1 species